GCCAUAUUCCGACGAAAGUUCGACGAAUAUGGCCGUCGGAUUUCGCGUGUUUUCUUGUAGUGUCCAUUUUAUUCCGAAUAUCUGAUCUCUGUGUCACUGACUGUAUCUCCUGUCUCAAUCCAAAAUUAAAAUAAUAAAUAAUCAAAUUAUGAGAAAGAGGAUCAUCAGAAAGCUACGUAGGAGGAGAAGAAGCUUCUCUCUCUUAUACACUCAAACCAGUAGAAAAUUUGAUUUUUGUAUCUGUUUCCAAAUCUCUGUCAGCUUUUUGAGUCCUUCAUCAACUAAGGUUUAUGAGAAGCUUUUCUCAAUUGGCUUCAUAGGUGAGAGACUUCUUCAUCCUUUUCAAGUCUGUAUUCUCUUAACAGCCAGUUUGAUGCUUUGUUGGGGAUCCAAUAUCUUCUUCUUGCUUAGACUUGUGGAUGUAGUGAGACAUGGUUUCUAUGGUAAGAGCAUCUCCAAUGGUGCUUCAUUUUCCAAUUUUGCUUCAUUAUUUUUUAUUCCAUUGGUACUUCAUUUUUUUCUUCAUUUCUUCAAAUUUUGAAGAAUUGAACAAUAUUUCUUUAAAUUUGAAGAAAUAUUGUUCGGUUCUUCAUUUUUUUAAGAUGAACUCUUUUAUUUAUAAACUAAUCCUUAACUUUUAUUUAUUGUUAUUUUUUUUACUUAAACAAAUUAAAAGUUUUAAUGUCAUCCAAUUAAUUUCAAAUUGUACACUAUUCCUUUUAUCUAAUUGAAUGUUAAUAAUGAAGAAUAUGAAAUUAUUGAUUUCUAAGAAUUUUAUGUUCAAUUUAAAAGAAUUUAGAAUAAAAUAAGCUCAAUAUUUGUUUUAAAACACAUUUUUAAUCACUUAAGACAUAUAUGUAUUUAGUGCUUUUUAUAAAAUCCUUUAUUUAUUUAUUUAUGUGUAAUAAUUGUAUUAUAUAUAUAAUAAUUAUUAAUUUAUAAUAACUAGUAAUUGAGUCGAAUUAAUGUUAAAACAAAACAGAUGGGUAAAAUUAGUAAAUUUGAAAAAGUAUACGGUAUUAUUAAUAAUUAAUUAUAAAGUGGUGGUAGAAUAUACUUAGAAUAUUUCAUUUUGAAGAAAAAUAUGAAGCAAACCAUUGGAGAGCUGAGCAUGUUACUUUAUUUUUGAAAAACUUCAAAUUUUGAAGAAAAAAAUGAAGAUCAUUGGAGAUGCUCUAACGGUGGGUUUUAACAUGAGGAAAGUGGCAGAAGGAAAUGUUACAAUCAAAUUAUGGGAUCUUGGCGUUCAACCAAGAUUCCUCAGCAUGUGGGAACGUUAUUGCCGCUCUGUUGCUGCCAUUGUGUAAAGGAUCUUCGACUCUUGAUUGGCUCGUAAAACAUUCAAAUUUAAAGAAUUAAACUUCACCAAGAACAAAUGUUCUCUCUCUUCUUGAUCAUCUUAGUCUUCCUGUCUUGUGUGCUUUGUUGUUGAUGAUGAUGAUGGUUGAAGACAAUUCUCAGUAUGAAACAAGACUUGGUCUCUCCUACUGGUCUGAUCAAGUCUUGUCUCUGUAUAUCAGAUGUUGAUUGCAUUCUAUUCAUCAGCAUUGCAAUCUUUGAUAACACAAAAA